AGGGUAGCAAUACCUGAGUACAGUGGCGCACGGGUGAGUAACACGUGAAUCAUCUACCUUCGAGUGGGGAAUAACUGGGAGAAAUCUCAGCUAAUACCGCAUAAUACCUACGGGUCAAAGCAGCAAUGCGCUUGAAGAGGAGUUCGCGGCAGAUUAGUUAGUUGGCGGGGUAAUGGCCCACCAAGACGAUGAUCUAUAUCCGGCCUGAGAGGGCGCACGGACACACUGGAACUGAAACACGGUCCAGACUCCUACGGGAGGCAGCAGUGGGGAAUUUUGCGCAAUGGGGGAAACCCUGACGCAGCAACGCCGCGUGGAGGAUGAAAUCCCUUGGGAUGUAAACUCCUUUCGAUUGGGAAGAUUAUGACGGUACCAAUAGAAGAAGCCCCGGCUAACUUCGUGCCAGCAGCCGCGGUAAUACGAGGGGGGCAAGCGUUGUUCGGAAUUAUUGGGCGUAAAGGGCGCGUAGGCGGUUUGACAAGUCUUAUGUGAAAUCUCUGGGCUCAACCCAGAGUCUGCAUGGGAAACUGUCGGGCUUGAGUAUGGGAGAGGUGAGUGGAAUUUCCGGUGUAGCGGUGAAAUGCGUAGAUAUCGGAAGGAACACCUGUGGCGAAAGCGGCUCACUGGACCAUAACUGACGCUGAGGCGCGAAAGCUAGGGGAGCAAACAGGAUUAGAUACCCUGGUAGUCCUAGCCCUAAACGAUG
rnacentral:rRNA from 1 species